rnacentral:snRNA from 1 species
ACAUUCUGGUUUCUCUUCAGACUGCAUAAAUCGUUCGCCUUUUACUAAAGAUUUCUGUGUAGAGGAACAUUAUGAGUAUCAAUUAUAUAUAUUCCAGGUGGUGUUGUUUACAAAAUG